CUGCUGCCUCCCGUAGGAGUUUGGGCCGUGUCUCAGUCCCAAUGUGGCCGUCCACCCUCUCAGGCCGGCUACUGAUCGUCGCUUUGGUAGGCCGUUACCCUGCCAACUGGCUAAUCAGACGCGGGUCCAUCCCAUACCACCGGAGUUUUUCACACAGCAACAUGCGUUGCCGUGCGCUUAUGCGGUAUUAGCAGUCAUUUCUAACUGUUAUCCCCCUGUAUGGGGCAGGUUGCCCACGCGUUACUCACCCGUCCG
rnacentral:rRNA from 1 species